GUUUUCUAUUCCACCAACCUCCAACUGACCCGUCACACCUCCUUGUUAUGUUUUGAGUCACAGUUUCACUCUUUCACUUUGACAAAUAACUGCUGCGCACUAAAGGCAUCUCUUCUCGCUCGGUGUUCGUACAUCUAACAUCUUCCCCAGUUCUUUGACCAUGGGUGUAUUCAAGGAGAAGUUGAAGUGUUGGUUUGAGGCACAAAAGAGGUGAGAUGAAGAUUUCUUUAUGUUCAUGUCAGAUCCAGCUGUUUGACUGACUUACUGGGUUCAUUCUGGACGUCCAAAUGUUUUGUUCAAAGAGAUUAGUUUUUUUGAGAAAAAAACACCUGUUUCUUUGAUUCAAAGCAUUUAGUCUUUGGUUAUAAACCUCAUGACAUUUUGAUUUGAAUAACCCAAAUGAAAAAGUGAAGCACAGUGCUGUGCUAUCAGCGCCUCCUUCACUAAAAAACAAUGUUGUAAUAAAAAAAGAAGACUGCCGUAACUCCAUUCACGGCAAAGUGCUGUUAGUUUCAACAUCACAUCAAUAUUCAACAUUGAAACUAGCUGAACAAACCUUAUCCUGAAGGGAAUGCCUUUGUUCUAGAGCAGUUGUUCUCAAACUUUUAAAGACCAAAGAUUUGGUCUUUAGAAAAACAAGAAUUAGGAAAUGUAAUUUAUUAAUGAACUUGUAAUUCCCUCUUUAAAGAGCCUGUGACACGAGUUUCCCCCAUCAUCCAAACCCAUCAAUUUGAGUAAAUAUUGUCCCCUUGAAAACCGUUACUGAACUGAUUUUGGAUAUUUGUACUUUGAUAACCAUUAAUCUGCCCUUCAAUGUUGACCAUUUUCUGGAUCUUCUCGGGG